rnacentral:rRNA from 1 species
CCUACGGGGGGCAGCAGUGAGGAAUAUUGGUCAAUGGACGAGAGUCUGAACCAGCCAAGUAGCGUGAAGGAUGACUGCCCUAUGGGUUGUAAACUUCUUUUAUAUGGGAAUAAAACGUUCCACGUGUGGGAUUUUGUAUGUACCAUAUGAAUAAGGAUCGGCUAACUCCGUGCCAGCAGCCGCGGUAAUACGGAGGAUCCGAGCGUUAUCCGGAUUUAUUGGGUUUAAAGGGAGCGUAGAUUGGUUGUUAAGUCAGUUGUGAAAGUUUGCGGCUCAACCGUAAAAUUGCAGGUGAAACUGGCAGUCUUGAGUACAGUAGAGGUGGGCGGAAUUCGUGGUGUAGCGGUGAAAUGCUUAGAUAUCACGAAGAACUCCGAUUGCGAAGGCAGUUCACUAGACUGCAACUGACACUGAGGCUCGAAAGUGUGGGUAUCAAACAGGAUUAGAUACCCUUGUAGUC